UACUAGUCAUUUGGUUGACAGCUGCCCUAUAUGUAUCGACUUGCAUUGCAAGAAUUUCAUUGUGAGGGGAUAGCGAAACAAUACCAAUGCAAGAUCAGUCAGAAAACAAGAGGGUUUUAAAUUUGUGAUCCGAAAAAAUACUGAACGACGAUAAAUAUCUGAUGAGGAUAAUGCCUUUCUCACAAAGGAUUUCACUUGCUAUUAUCGCAAUUUUACUAAUAUGGAAGGUCACACAGACAGAGAGCCAGCUGUGUCGGAUUACACGUCGCGGUUGCAGGGACACCAGAUUGAAUCGUUUGGGCAGAGGCCGGUGUGCUAGACAUGGCGACAGAUUAGGUAAGGUUAUGAGAUGUCAUCGGUAUGGUUUACGUUGCCGAUGCAACGUAGUUGGCAAUAAACCGGGAAAUAUUGGAACUAAUUACGACGAGUCAAAAUACUAUGACCAAUUGUUGUAUUCUGAAAUAUAUUAAACCGUUCUACAAUCAUCAAAAUGGCUACAAUAUUACAUUUGUUUAAAGUUUGAAAACAUUCUGGUACUCGUAGGACUAAUAGUGACAAAAUGGAAGGAUAUUUGAAGAUGAAUGUACUAAUAUUCUGUGUUGAUGAAACAGACUUUGAGAAUAUGUGAUUAUUAUAAUAAUUCAAAUAAAACAAACAAUUUAUGUUUGUUUAAAUUCAAAGAUGUAUCUUUUGUUGAUAUAAACUUUAACAAUUGCAUAAUUAAUGUACAGCGGAAUGUUUGUUCUUCCUCCUUAAGUUUUAAUUAUCUGUAUAACCUAGGUAGGUUAUAUUGUACAAUUUAUUUGACCUGUCAAAACUUGUUCCCGGCUUUCGUUAUAUUUUGUUCACGCCUACAUAAGAUCAACAUGAAAGCCAUAAACAUAUUUUGACAGGUCAAAAUAGGUCAACUAAAUAGUACAACUAAAUACUACAUGACAGCUAAUUUGUUAAUUGACAGUACAACAAUGCAAAUUUGUUUCUCAAUAUAUAAGUGUAGAAAAAAGUUUCGAACUUAGAGAAGUAAUAAAAGACAAUAUAUCAACAAAAGCUUUGAACAAAAGCUUUGAACAUUUA
rnacentral:lncRNA from 1 species